UUGAGAUCCUCAGAGAAUUAGAUCUGCUGCUUGUCUACAGGACAGAAAGUGGCAGGGCAAGCUUUCCACAUCGCUGCCUCCUGCCAACGCGGCUCAGCCUUGACCUGGCUACUGUUAGUGGCUGGACGGAGUGGAGUUCAUUCUCUGUAUCCCAUUCAUAGUCACCGGCCUUU
rnacentral:sRNA from 1 species